rnacentral:rRNA from 1 species
UACGUAGGGCGCAAGCGUUAUCCGGAAUUAUUGGGCGUAAAGAGCUCGUAGGCGGUUUGUCGCGUCUGCCGUGAAAGUCCGGGGCUCAACCCCGGCCUGCAGUGGGUACGGGCAGACUAGAGUGCGGUAGGGGAGACUGGAAUUCCUGGUGUAGCGGUGAAAUGCGCAGAUAUCAGGAGGAACACCGGUGGCGAAGGCGGAUCUCUGGGCCUUACCUGACGCUGAGGCGCGAAAGCUAGGGGAGCGAACAGG